rnacentral:rRNA from 1 species
GUUUACGGCCAUACCACCCUGAGAACGCCCGAUCUCGUCUGAUCUCCGAAGCUAAGCAGGGUCGGGCCUGGUUAGUACUUGGAUGGAAGACAGCCUGGGAAUACCAGGUGCUGUAAGCU